ACAAUGGCGAGAUCUGCAUUCGCCGCCUUCAUUGUUCUCGGUGCGUCUAUGGACUUCUAGCCACGAUAGUGCGUCUCUACGUCGCACGUUCGGAUAACACUUUGCGGUAUUGCUAGCCUAUGUCUACAAGAACCUUCACGUGUGGCUUGUGACAGCAAGCUUUUGUGGGCAGUCAGUGCUAUCUACGAAGGCUGGCCUGCACUGGUAGCGGUGGCAAUCAUCUUCAACAUUCAUGCAUGAUCACCUUUGCUGCUAUUUGCCACUCUUGUUAAUUACACUUUCUGCAUCUUUUCUAAUUUAUUAGGUAAUAAAGUAUGGCUAAGUACCAUGGUGUGAA